GAUACUUGUUUAUGAUGCGAUGGAGGGACGGAGAAGGUUAUGUCAGCCUGGCGUUGGUUGUCCAGGUGAAAGGAUGUAGGUAGGUUUAGUAGGCAAAUCCGCUAGACUAUUACUGAGAUCUGAUAGCAAGCCAGUUUACUGGCAAAGUGGCAAAUACCCUGCUUCCAGGAAAAGCUUCUAAGCGAUAGUCAUAAAGAAAUCG
rnacentral:rRNA from 1 species